AUUGAACGCUGGCGGCAGGCCUAACACAUGCAAGUCGAGCGAGCGACGGACGGGUGAGUAAUGUAUGGGGACUGCCCGAUAGAGGGGGAUAACUACUGGAAACGGUAGCUAAUACCGCAUACUAUCGGAUAAGCCAUAUGGGAUUAGCUAGUUGUUGAGGUAAUGGCUCACCUAGGCAACGAUCCGUAGCUGGUUUGAGAGGACGACCAGCCACACUGGGACUGAGACAAGGCCCAGACUCCUACGGAGGCAGCAGUGGGGAAUUUUGGACAAGGGGCGAAACCCUGAUCCAGCCAUCCCGCGUGUAUGAAGAAGGCCUUCGGGUUGUAAAAUACUUUUGGCAGAGAAGCGGUAUCUGAAGAAUAAGCACCGGCUAACUACGUGCCAGCAGCCGCGGUAAUUC
rnacentral:rRNA from 1 species